rnacentral:lncRNA from 1 species
CCGCCCCUCCCCCCUCCACCACAUGAGUCUUACCAUGGAUGUUGAAAUGAUAAAUGCUGAGUGAGGAGAGAUAAAGGAGGGGACCCAAGGACAGAGCCGCUGUCCACACACUCCUCUCCAAGGUCCAAGCUCCUGGCUUCCUGUGAGGCUAUGAAGGCGAAUGUUCCCUCUGCACAGUGAUCAUCACUUUCAGCCACGACACUCCCCCCAGCUGCGGCCAUGCAAGGAUGCGCCCAAUGACAGCCUCUCUAUCUGGCACAAAUGCACCCUAGGGGCGGGAGCAGACUGUUUUUAUGAGAACUAAACAAUACUGAACUUCUUUCACAUAUCAGAAAGGGGCAAAGCCUAGAGAGUCCAAGUUUUUGAGAGAGAUGAGGAAAGCCCAUGCCACCUUACCAGGAGGAGGAAGAGGAGGAGGAGGAGGAGGAGGAGGAGGAAGAGGAGGAAGAGGAGGAGGAGGAGGAGGAGGAGGAGGAGGAGGAGGAGGAGGAGGAGAUGGUGGUGGUGUGACGGUACCAUCCUUGAGAAAGAGGCAGAGAUACUGAGGACCAGACAUGGCUGAGCAACUUUCUUCAACGUCUUGUACAUAGCCCAGGACAGUCUCAAUCCUUUUACCACAACCUCUGAGAACUGGAUCUGAAAGAGUCAUCUCUCCACCCUGCCUGAGCAUCCUGAGUCACCGCCAUGACUUUUCCAACGGAGCACUACCAACAUUCACCAUCUUUAUCUUAGGCUACGGACACUGCUCCCUCCUUCCGGAACACCCCCUCCUCUCUCCUUUCUCCACAAACCCAUUUCCACUUGGACCAUCUGGACAACUGAGCAUUGUUUGGAAGUCAACGAAGCCUUCCCUGAUGGCCCUCCAGCCACACCA